ACGCUCGACACCUACGGGGGGCAGCAGUGGGGGAUAUUGCACAAUGGGGGGAACCCUGAUGCAGCGACGCCGCGUGAGGGAAGAAGGUUUUCGGAUUGUAAACCUCUGUCCUCAGGGAAGAAGAUGACGGUACCUGAGGAGGAAGCCACGGCUAACUACGUGCCGGCAGCCGCGGUAAUCUGAGCGGGCUGGCAAGGC
rnacentral:rRNA from 1 species